CCUACGGGAGGCAGCAGUGAGGAAUAUUGGUCAAUGGCCGGAAGGCUGAACCAGCCAAGCCGCGUGAAGGACGAAGGUGCCAAGCAUUGUAAACUUCUUUUGUCAAGGGACAAAAUCAGGCUCGAGAGCCUGACCGAGUGUACUUGAAGAAAAAGCAUCGGCUAACUCCGUGCCAGCAGCCGCGGUAAUACGGAGGAUGCGAGCGUUAUCCGGAUUUAUUGGGUUUAAAGGGUGCGUAGGCGGACUGUUAAGUCAGCGGUAAAAGCCCGGGGCUCAACCCCGGCGAGCCGUUGAAACUGGCGGUCUUGAGAUGUCGAGAGGUAUGCGGAAUGCGCAGUGUAGCGGUGAAAUGCUUAGAUAUUGCGCAGAACUCCGAUUGCGAAGGCAGCAUACCGGCGGCGAUCUGACGCUGAGGCACGAAAGCGUGGGUAUCGAACAGGAUUAGAUACCCCGGUAGUC
rnacentral:rRNA from 1 species